rnacentral:misc_RNA from 1 species
AUCGCGUCGCCCCCCACAAUUCUCUGUAAAGAGACCAGAGUGUGGGGGCGGAUAUUGGUCUCCCGUGCUCAUGGCGUGGUUGGCCAAAAUAGGAGUCCCUUCGAUGGACGCACAAACUAGUGGUGGUCGUAAAAACCCUCGUCUUUUGUUUUGUGUUGUUAGUCGCAAGGAUAAACUCUUUAAAUACCCCAACGUGUUGUCUUUUGACGACGCUUCGACCG